UAGUUUUGAUCAGCUGUUCAAGAACUGAAAACUCAGUUUCACAUCUCAGGCUCACUCAAUUCAGAGCUCCUGCCUCAUCAUCUGUCCUUUGCUUCCCAGUGUUUUCCUCAUUACUAACCUUUUGUUUCUUGUACCUCAGGAUCACCGCCUGCUCCUCUGCCUCACGUUUGCCUUCUGCCAGACAGCCAGCCAUGCAUCCUUAUUCACCACUGCCCACGCCAUCUGAUCUUACAUUAUUCACAAACUUCCUUCAGAUGCCUUCAGAUCUCCAACCCUAGUCAUCUCUCAUUCAUCUAAUGCCCCUACAUCAUCACAACACUGUAGAGCUUAAACCUCAAACACCUCUAGUGUAGACUUUAUGCCCUAAUUUAGGAGAGAAGAAAUACAGAGCUGGUGCAACCCAGUGCACGUGUGUAGAUGCAGCUGAACAGGGGGCAAUAACAAACACAGUGACACACGGGAACACUCGAAAUACAGUGAAGUGAAAUAACAAAAGGAGACACUUGGAAAACACAUUCGACAAUCGCAUUAAUCACCAUUCACUCCCUGGUCAAAUGACAUCGGCAGUGAUGCAGGUAGAGUCCUCCAUUUCUGAUUAGCAGAUGUCUAUUAGGCUUAAACGUUACAUUCGUAUAUAGCCCAGGCUUAAUAAUGAGAAACACUAUUUAGUUGUCUGACCAAGUCACUAAGGGUUAACGUUUAUUUUUCUCAUCAUCUUUGAUGGACUUGUAUGUUAGCAAAUUAGUGAACUGUAUGAUGCAGUGAGCUGACCAAUCAGCUGCCAGCUAGCCUCCGCUACAGUUAAGCCUCUAGUUUCGCGUCUCUGCACGUUCUUUUGGCGGCUGCACCUGAGGCGUAGGAGGCUGCGCUAUCCACCUGAGCGUAAAAGAGAGCUGUGCCCGAAUCCACUGUUGUCACGGAGAUAAAGGCAGUGAAUUCCGCUAAAAUGCUCAGGUUUUGGUAAAGAGUUGUAAACAUCGUGCAGCUGAGAUCCAUUCCACGGAGUGAUACCGAUGCACAUGUUCCAGACGUUCUUCCAGAGAUUCGUAGAUUCCCAGUCCAGGUGGCUGGGUGGGCCAACCGUGUUUGUGACUGUGACUUUAGACGGAUUGCCAGGAUCUUCUUCAUCUUUAUGGUGGUAGGACAAACACUAACACAAAUUUAAAAGGGCCCCAACAGUGAAAAAUUAACUUGUCAAUAAAGGCAAGUGGAACUGAGGACGAACUGAGCUCAAAGAAACUAAAAAAGGGAUUUUAUUUAUGUGCGCACUUCAUUAUUUUAGUUUGUUAUUUUUCAUAACUGUUUUUUGUGUGUACCAGCCCUGUGUAUUUAAUACACUUAAUGCAAACUGUCAUUCUGGUGUGGUAUUGAUUUUAUUGACAUUCAAUUCUCAGGCUCUUAACAAUUUAGCGUCUUCUGAUUCUGGUCCACAUUAAUGAUAACCUGUAAGACUA